rnacentral:rRNA from 1 species
GAUGAACGCUGGCGGCGUGCCUAAUACAUGCAAGUCGAGCGAACAGACGAGGAGCUUGCUCCUCUGACGUUAGCGGCGGACGGGUGAGUAACACGUGGAUAACCUACCUAUAAGACUGGGAUAACUUCGGGAAACCGGAGCUAAUACCGGAUAAUAUAUUGAACCGCAUGGUUCAAUAGUGAAAGACGGUUUUGCUGUCACUUAUAGAUGGAUCCGCGCCGCAUUAGCUAGUUGGUAAGGUAACGGCUUACCAAGGCAACGAUGCGUAGCCGACCUGAGAGGGUGAUCGGCCACACUGGAACUGAGACACGGGCCAGACUCCUACGGGAGGCAGCAGUAGGGAAUCUUCCGCAAUGGGCGAAAGCCUGACGGAGCAACGCCGCGUGAGUGAUGAAGGUCUUCGGAUCGUAAAACUCUGUUAUUAGGGAAGAACAAAUGUGUAGGUAACUAUGCACGUCUUGACGGUACCGAAACAGAAAGCCACGGCUAACUACGU